rnacentral:rRNA from 1 species
GUGCCAGCAGCCGCGGUAAUACCGGCAGCCCGAGUGAUGGCCGAUAUUAUUGGGCCUAAAGCGUCCGUAGCUGGCCGAACAAGUCCGUCGGGAAAUCCACGUGCUUAACGCGUGGGCGACCGGCGGAAACUGUUCGGCUUGGGGCCGGAGGACCCGAGGGGUACGUCCGGGGUAGGAGUGAAAUCCCGUAAUCCCGGACGGACUACCGAUGGCGAAAGCACUCUGAGAAAACGGAUCCGACAGUGAGGGACGAAAGCCAGGGUCUCCAACCGGAUUAGAAACCCUAGUAGUCC